CCUAAAUGUCUCUUAGUCUCUCCUAAUUCAAUAUGGUAUCUAGAGCCUUCUAAGAGACAAUUUUUCGCCGUGUUUUACCCGGUUGACCCAGUAUUUUCCGGUGAGAAAUUUUCUUCUACAAACCGUGUCAUUAUUCAGGUUUGCCUCAGUUUUUUAAAAAUUUUUUUUCAGCGACCUCCGCCAAGCACAACCCAUUUCAGGGGACUACUGUUCACCGCCGCCACCACUGUUCAUCGGCGCCGCUACUGUUCACGAAAAAAAAAUUCCGGAAAAUCGCCUUCCUCCUCUGGUUCCAGAUCCGUCCUUGGUUUCCGUUUUCGACUC